CAUUAAAAUACGAGUGUGGGCUUAUGAAACGAAUGAAAUGAGUUUCAUAAUAGUAUCACACGAGUGUUUUGAUGCCUAAUUAUGUACAGUUACAUACACUGCUUUAUCUACACACAUAUUAUAUACUUUCUAUGAUAUAUAUCAUUCACUAACCUCAUAUUACAGCCGACAUUAGGGCACUUUCCUCUCUGGCGGAACUCGCGGAUAUGAGGUGGCGUCUCCGAAAUAUCUUUAUCGCACAUUUUACACGAAACUUUUGUUAUAGUUACUUUUAAAAACAACAAAACAAAUUAUUUUUUACUUAAAAACUAAUUAAAAGAUAAACUGUACGUCGAAUGGCGGCAAAUGAAAACUUUUUUCACGCACGUCACGCAUCUGUAGUUUUCUUUUUAAUUCAGAGACAAACUAGAGUCGGGGUCGAUUACCAUAUCGUCGGAAACCAACUUACAUGCGAGAUCUGUCAAUGAUUUCGAAUAAAACGUCAUCUCGACUGAUAUUAGAAUAGGGGUCAAAUCAAAUUGCUUUUUUUUCAGAGAUGUUCGAAAUUUGAAUGCAUUACCAAAUCGAUUUUGAUAUAGUAAUGAAGCUAUUACCACAUUUUCACAGAUAAGAAAUUUGCUGUAACAAAACAGUUUAUCGUAAUGGGGGCUAUUAUUUACGGAUUUUGAAGGCAUCAUAGAGAGUUUAUGAUAUGUGUGUAGAUAAAAAUAAUUUUCAAAAUCGAUCCCGAAAUGACGGAGAUAUCAAACAUUAAAAAACCGAAUUAAUACCUCCUUUUUAGGGUUCCGUAGCCAAAUGGCAAAAAACGGAACCCUUAUAGAUUCGUCAUGUCUGUCUGUCUGUCCGUCCGUAUGUCACAGCCACUUUUUUCCGAAACUAUAAGAACUGUUGAAACUUGGUAAGUAGAUGUAUUCUGUGAACCGCAUUAAGAUUUCAACACAAAAAUAGAAAAAAAAAAACAAUAAAUUUUGGGGGUCCCCCAUACUUAGAACUGAAACUUAAAAUGUCUUUUUCAUUAAACCCAUACGUGUGGGGUAUCUAUGGAUAGGUCUUCAAAAAUGAUAUUGAGGUUUCUAAUAUCAUUUUUUUUCUAAACUGAAUAGUUUGCGCGAGAGACACUUCCAA